CUUGCGCGUUUUCACAACCGACACACUCCAGGCUUCAUUUCAUAUACUUUAUUGUUACAGUUUGGUGGCGGCCAGCUGAAAAGCGUUUAUACCUGCCGGUGUGUAUUUUUAUUGCUGACACACAUGUGAAAAGAUAUGAAACUUUUCAUUGGCCGUUCCGUAUACAUAUCUGCGACAUUUUAACAGUGUUCACCUGCACUUCAAAUUUCUCUCAUGUUCUGCCACCUCACUGGAUUGUGAACCAAAUUUUUUAUACACAGUAAUACUGCCAUCAGUGCUGUAUACAAAUUGUAAUGGUACCGUCACUGCCGAUGCCACAAUGCAACGUCCCGACAGAUCCAUUUUGAAGUAAUACUGCAGUCGCAAUUUUCUCAGCUUUUUAUGAGUAACCACAACUCCUAUUUUGCUACUGCAAGGUCGAGGCAGAUUUCCACUGCGACUUCCUCGUCCACCUGCUUGCUGCGCAGAGGGGGAGCAGAACACGUGUACCCCUCCCUUACACGCACCAAUUACUACAAUGAGCAAAUGAAAGGCUGUUUCCCAUCCGGCCACUGUAGGGGGUCCAAGAGAAAGGAGAGUGGAGCCACACAAGAGGAGAGCCACAUAAUUGUCCUUCCUGCUCUUGACGUACACACACGUACAUUGGCGACAACCGCUGUUUGUCAUCACCCUUGUUGAUAGUCGUUACCUUACUUGCAUUUGGAUCGCCGCAAAGGUCGACUUUCCAUUUGUCUCUCAGCACACAUAAAGCAAUUUCAUUUCUGAAAUAGUCGUCCAGGUCAAACUUCAUUUGGCUUUACAUUUUCAUAAAAAAAGUUAGUAGAGUUGCUAUUUUUAGCCUGUGAUUGUCCAGUGUUUUAAUACUAUCGUAAUGAAAAUGCAUAUUGCUUCAUAUUUAAACAACUUUUGCACGUUCCCGUUUCUAAAUGAUCAUGUGAGCAAUUAUUUUUUACAUUCUAAAUGCUUAAUACUUGGACUUUAUCUGCAUUGAAAGAAAAUGUCAUGGGGGGACAAUGAUGUAAUCUUUGAAUAUUGUAGCACUCACUAAACAUAAAAAUAACACUAAAGUGUUAAUAAAGAUAACACUGAUGUCACAAACAAAUUUAACCCCCCCUCCCCCAAAAUAUAGUAAAUUUACAUGAAUAAAGUUUCAUAUCAGUAUAAGAGAAAAGUUGAAAAGGAACUUCAAAUAAUAUUAGAAUAAAUGUUGCCCAUAUAAACCUCAUCAUUAGUUUACACUAAUUAUAUUCGCCGAUUGCUAUUGCCACGUUACUACCUGUAUUUAAAGGUGGCUCUUGCCAUCAAAGUGGGGAUUUUGAGCUUUACCGGUUCAAAUUAGUUCAAAUGAUUUUACAAUUGUUACAACCUUAUGCACACACACACACUCUCAUCCACAUGGUCUGUGUAAAAUAGUUCAAAUAUGCUUUCAAAAACAUAUUUUCCUGCAUCACAGAGCUUUGCUUCUUUCUUUUUCACCUGAGCAUCUAGAAGCGAAUCGACUAUCCAGUCCCUAAAAAGCAUGCAGUAACUCUCCUCUCAAGCUUUCCUUUUACUGUACGCGUAUAUGUGAGAGAUGCACAGCCCUCCUGACUUCACGUUCUCAGUGCGCCACAGCGUCUCUGCAGGCUAAUUGAAGUCAACCGCGGGGCGCUGCUAAUGAUCAACCUACAGCGACCCUUCACGGUCUGUCAUUUCUCGGUCCGCAGCACGGUGUGGCAUUUAGAGAGCACCUGAGGCUUAAGAAUACGAGAGAGACGAAAAAAAAAUCUGUGAUGGGGGGGGGGUUUGUCGGGGGGUAAGUAGGGAGAAUGAGGG